rnacentral:rRNA from 1 species
GACGAACGCUGGCGGCGUGCCUAAUACAUGCAAGUAGAACGCUGAAGGAGGAGCUUGCUUCUCUGGAUGAGUUGCGAACGGGUGAGUAACGCGUAGGUAACCUGCCUGGUAGCGGGGGAUAACUAUUGGAAACGAUAGCUAAUACCGCAUAAGAGUAGAUGUUGCAUGACAUUUGCUUAAAAGGUGCAAUUGCAUCACUACCAGAUGGACCUGCGUUGUAUUAGCUAGUUGGUGAGGUAACGGCUCACCAAGGCAACGAUACAUAGCCGACCUGAGAGGGGGAUCGGCCACACUGGGACUGAGACACGGCCCAGACUCCUACGGGAGGCAGCAGUAGGGAAUCUUCGGCAAUGGACGGAAGUCUGACCGAGCAACGCCGCGUGAGUGAAGAAGGUUUUCGGAUCGUAAAGCUCUGUUGUAAGAGAAGAACGAGUGUGAGAGUGGAAAGUUCACACUGUGACGGUAUCUUACCAGAAAGGGACGGCUAACUACGUG